rnacentral:rRNA from 1 species
AAAUUGAAGAGUUUGAUCAUGGCUCAGAUUGAACGCUGGCGGCAGGCCUAACACAUGCAAGUCGAACGGUAACAGGAAGAAGCUUGCUUCUUUGCUGACGAGUGGCGGACGGGUGAGUAAUGUCUGGGAAACUGCCUGAUGGAGGGGGAUAACUACUGGAAACGGUAGCUAAUACCGCAUAACGUCGCAAGACCAAAGAGGGGGACCUUCGGGCCUCUUGCCAUCGGAUGUGCCCAGAUGGGAUUAGCUAGUAGGUGGGGUAACGGCUCACCUAGGCGACGAUCCCUAGCUGGUCUGAGAGGAUGACCAGCCACACUGGAACUGAGACACGGUCCAGACUCCUACGGGAGGCAGCAGUGGGGAAUAUUGCACAAUGGGCGCAAGCCUGAUGCAGCCAUGCCGCGUGUAUGAAGAAGGCCUUCGGGUUGUAAAGUACUUUCAGCGGGGAGGAAGGGAGUAAAGUUAAUACCUUUGCUCAUUGACGUUACCCGCAGAAGAAGCACCGGCUAACUCCGUGCCAGCAGCCGCGGUAAUACGGAGGGUGCAAGCGUUAAUCGGAAUUACUGGGCGUAAAGCGCACGCAGGCGGUUUGUUAAGUCAGAUGUGAAAUCCCCGGGCUCAACCUGGGAACUGCAUCUGAUACUGGCAAGCUUGAGUCUCGUAGAGGGGGGUAGAAUUCCAGGUGUAGCGGUGAAAUGCGUAGAGAUCUGGAGGAAUACCGGUGGCGAAGGCGGCCCCCUGGACGAAGACUGACGCUCAGGUGCGAAAGCGUGGGGAGCAAACAGGAUUAGAUACCCUGGUAGUCCACGCCGUAAACGAUGUCGACUUGGAGGUUGUGCCCUUGAGGCGUGGCUUCCGGAGCUAACGCGUUAAGUCGACCGCCUGGGGAGUACGGCCGCAAGGUUAAAACUCAAAUGAAUUGACGGGGGCCCGCACAAGCGGUGGAGCAUGUGGUUUAAUUCGAUGCAACGCGAAGAACCUUACCUGGUCUUGACAUCCACAGAACUUUCCAGAGAUGGAUUGGUGCCUUCGGGAACUGUGAGACAGGUGCUGCAUGGCUGUCGUCAGCUCGUGUUGUGAAAUGUUGGGUUAAGUCCCGCAACGAGCGCAACCCUUAUCCUUUGUUGCCAGCGGUCCGGCCGGGAACUCAAAGGAGACUGCCAGUGAUAAACUGGAGGAAGGUGGGGAU